CUUGCUGGGGGGCAGCGUCUUCAUGGUAUGUUGCAGGCUGACUUCCCCCUGGGCCCUGUGACCUCAGCUCACAGAGGGACCUACAGAUGCUACAGCUCUUUCAAUCACUCUCAUGUAUAGUCACACCCGAGUGACCCACUGCACCUUGCUGUUACAGUAUCUUCUACAAGUACGUGCCUCUCACCCACAGAGUCAAGUACAAGAAAAGAGGCACCACCUCCUCAAGAAAACUCCAGCAAGCUGAACAUUCUCAUUGGACUCUCAUUAGCCUUCCUCCUCAUUGGCAUUUCCCUCACUGCUUUCCUGUGUUACUGGUGUUCCAUCAAACAUCGUGCUGCCUUGAGAGAACCAGAGCCCAAGGAAGACCAGAUGAUGAAUGGCGAGGACCCUGCAGCAGAAGACACACACAGUGUAAUAUAUGCCCAGCUGACUCUCCAACAGAGAGGAUUCACACCCUCUUCCCUGAGUACUGAGGAUGUUUCCACUGAACCCAGUGUCUACAUGGAAUUCAAAGUAAACCAGGCCCAUGCUGAGGCUAGGCCUGGCCCUGAGCUCUGAGCACACACAGUGUUGCCAAGCAAAGACCGGGGUCUCUUUAUGGGAGGAGACCUCCCAGGAACACUCUUCCUCUUUCUCAAACCCAGCCUGACACUUCUGGGUGACAGCAGAGGAGCCUCAGGCUUGAAGGAGCAUCUUCUGAAUCCCACAACCUCUUCACAAUAGCUCAGUGGUUGAGGACUGUGGAAACUACCCACUCCCAGAAAUGUUAUGUACUCACCUGUACAUACUGUAAACCUGAUCACUACCACCCUACCUUUUUCUGAAAUUCUACUAAACCAAACUCUACAGAGUCUGAUGUAUGUACUUUGCCAGUUACUUUGUUUAAUUCUUCAAUAAAAUUCUACAGAGAUGAA